UUUUUUUUUAAAACUAUAUAUUGGAAGAAUUUAAUAGUACGAUAAAUAUAUGCCUCUAAAUGCUUAAGUACAAUUCAUUAAUAACUCUAAGCCUGCUAGGCCUUUGUAUUUCAUCACACAAAGACUGGAAAACACAGACACAGAAAAAUCACAACCGUGCAGUGAGACACAUGGACAUUCACAGACACUCCUUCCUGAAAACAAGGACCACUACUGAGACACAUGGGACCUCCCAGACACACCAAUAUAUGUCCCCACAGAAUCACCCAGACUUUGUCACUAGGAAAAACAGGUGGACAUACCCAAGCACACUCAAGAGAUAGAGUCCCAGAGGUAGUAACAGACACACAGUACAGGCCCUCUGCACCCUUCAUCCCCAUCUUUGUUUUUCUUCUUACCACUGUCCAUACAAAGUGCACUUGACUUGCAUCCCUUGUUUUGUUUUGUUUUUAUUGGCCCCUACAUUAGCUUCAAGGGAACAAGGAUAUUUGGUCUCUUCUGUUCACUGCAGCACCUAGGACAUCACCUGUUACACAGAAGAACAUCAGUAAAUACUUAAUGUCCAGGCUCAACAGACAUAUGCAUUCGGUGAGGUGUGCACACAUCUCAUCAGAGGGCCACAUCCAUCUGAAAGUCAGAGAAUGAGUUGUCUUCACAGCCAUCCCUUGUGGAAGGAGGAGAUCCCCCCAACCCUAAAGGAAGGUCCUUCAGCCGUUUUGGUGGAGUGAUGGUGAUGGUGGUGGGAGCCUUCCUGAGCCCUCACUGUCUACAUAAGAACCUGAGAACAGGGAGCCCGAGUCCACCACAGGACAAGAGUCAUGACGUUGUAGCCCCUGACGCCGCUCAAAUUCUAAGAAAGCCUCCUCACUACCAGACCCAGGGAGCUCAGUUAGGACAUCACUGGUAUCUCUUCCUCGCUCGGCUGCCCUUUUUUGCAGUCACCUCUGAUGCCACCAUAUUCACAGCAGUGCCUUCUACUUGCUGUGAAAGUUACCUCGGACCAUCAGGGUCCUUCCCCGUCUGUCGCGUCCCCUCAAGUACAUCCGCCAUUACAAGACGGAGGCCUCUGGAGCUCGGGCUGUCUACCCGCCACAGACACUCAACAUCCGGGACCCACCACACCGGAAGCUGAAUAGGGCAAGAGGAGAGCUUCCGCCACUGCCAGUACCGUUCUUGAUACCUCCUCUUCUUACAGUCACCCCCCCCCUCGCCUAAGUGCGCCUGCGCACUUCGUCAAAGGCGGAAACUCCCAGGUAGUCCCAACAAAGCACAGCUCUUUUAGACGCGAGCCCGUGUUGCAUCCUGGGAACAAUCUGCAGGGCGGGGCUUCCAGAAACUGAGGGGCUUCUCUUCGGAACCCACUUCCCGCAGGCCAAUAAGCUGGCGCUGUGCGCCGUGGGGCUGCGCCUGAGAAGGGCACAUGCGCUCUGGUGAGGCGUUAGUAAGGCACGUCCCGGAGUGUGGGGAGGUAAGGAGCUUGGGGCGCGAUGGGCACUUCGUGGGGCGUCACGACCUGAGUGUGCAGAGAAGGCAUGUCAGGUGACUGGGACAGUGAGGAGGAGUGCCUGUUUGCCCGCCUGUACGUGAAACCCCAUCGCCCCAUCGCUGUAUGUGGUUCCCAGCUGGGCAUCUUUAUGAUGUCACGGGAGAUGUUGACACUGUGAGGUGUGUGAUUGUGCCUGUGGAUUUAUGCAGUAGCAGGAGCUGCUGUGGCUGAUGGGCGUGUCUCCAUGGCAUGGGUUCUGCCACUGCCUCUUCUAUCUCACCUCACAUCGCGCAACUGCCACGUGUUCCCAACAGCAAGAGGAGUUUGGGGAUCCGUAAAGACAUUUCGCAGCAUGAAGACACAGAACUGAGCUUGAGAUGAGAACUUUGGAGCUGGAAGGGGCCUCAAGAAAGGCCCUGGAAGACAAGAUGUGGAUGCCCCUUGUCUGAAGACAGGAUCAGGAUGCUCCCAAUGGGAGGAACCUGAUGUAAACUCAACGACAGAUUCUGGAAGACCUCCCUCUUCUUUCCUGUUAUGUGUGUGAGAUGAAGUCAGGAACAAGGAUCUGGAAAAUAAGCUGAAGUUUGAUGUUCAUGAAGCCCCUAUGCAUCUGUCUGUCUUCAUUUAAUGUGACCUCAAAAGCUCAGCAAUGACUUCUUCUUCAUUCUAAAUUUCAUUCAAGUUAUUGCUAUUGGUAAAUUUGGACAUGGAACCAUAAAGGAAAUGCAUUGCAGCAAAUGAAGUUCCUAACAUUACCCACAUUGACAUAACAAUGCAGAACUAUCUGGAACUCUGGAUUUCUCUGUCAUAUCACAAGUCAAAGCCUACUGUCCAAUUCACAAUCACAAGCAAAGACAAACAGCAAAGGGCAAACAUUAAAAAUUACAAUUCAUUUGAGACUA